rnacentral:rRNA from 1 species
CGCGCUGCAUUAGCUAGUUGGUAAGGUAACGGCUUACCAAGGCAACGAUGCAUAGCCGACCUGAGAGGGAGAUCGGCCACACUGGAACUGAGACACGGUCCAGACUCCUACGGGAGGCAGCAGUAGGGAAUCUUCCGCAAUGGGCGAAAGCCUGACGGAGCAACGCCGCGUGAGUGAUGAAGGUCUUCGGAUCGUAAAACUCUGUUAUUAGGGAAGAACAUAUGUGUAAGUAACUGUGCACAUCUUGACGGUACCUAAUCAGAAAGCCACGGCUAACUACGUGCCAGCAGCCGCGGUAAUACGUAGGUGGCAAGCGUUAUCCGGAAUUAUUGGGCGUAAAGCGCGCGUAGGCGGUUUUUUAAGUCUGAUGUGAAAGCCCACGGCUCAACCGUGGAGGGUCAUUGGAAACUGGAAAACUUGAGUGCAGAAGAGGAAAGUGGAAUUCCAUGUGUAGCGGUGAAAUGCGCAGAGAUAUGGAGGAACACCAGUGGCGAAGGCGACUUUCUGGUCUGUAACUGACGCUGAUGUGCGAAAGCGUGGGGAUCAAACAGGAUUAGAUACCCUGGUAGUCCACGCCGUAAACGAUGAGUGCUAAGUGUUAGGGGGUUUCCGCCCCUUAGUG